AUGCCGCAGUAUCUACUAAUAAAAGGGGCAUGGCAAAAUAAUAUAAAAAUGUUCUCUAAGAACACAAUAUUUGACACGAAAAAAAUAUUUUAUUGCCAUAGAAAUAAAAGUAAAAAAUGUCAUGUAUGUAAAGUAAAUUUUACCAAUCUAAAAGGUAAAAAUCUGCCAUGUUCUCAAAACAAAACAAAAUGUUAUGAUGAUCAAAUUUUCAUAAAUUUGUCAUGUGAAUAUUCCCAAAAAAAGGUUGCAUAUUUUGCUAUGGUGUAUGAGACACACUUUUUGCCAUGGCAAAAAACAUCUUAA
rnacentral:rRNA from 1 species